rnacentral:hammerhead_ribozyme from 1 species
AUCCAUCUGACUAGUCCGAAAUAGGAUGAAACGCGCGUCCUGGAU